GACGAACGCUGGCGGCGUGCCUAACACAUGCAAGUCAAGGCGGUAGCAAUACCGACUGGCGCACGGGUGCGGAACACGUAGGUAAUCUGCCCUUUAGGGGAGAACAACUCAUCGAAAGGUGAGCUAAAUCUCCGUAAUGUUUUACUAUGGCAUCAUAGUUCAACCAAGUUUUCUAAGGGAUGAGCCUGCGUCUGAUUAGCUAGUUGGUGAGGUAACGGCUCACCAAGGCACGAUCAGUAGCUGGUCUGAGAGGAUGAUCAGCCACAUUGGGACUGAGACACGGCCCAGACUCCUACGGGAGGCAGCAGUGAGGAAUAUUGCUCAAUGGAACGAAAGUCUGAAGCAGCAACGCCGCGUGAGGGAUGAAGGUGCUC
rnacentral:rRNA from 1 species